CCUCUGUCUACAGAUGGCAAAGGAUCAGAGCAUGACUGACUUGUGCAGAGAGCAACGGCUCACCCAGCACACCCCAGAGAAAGUAUGAAUUCAAAGUCCAUCAUCAAGACAGUGAUAAAUAGCUGGCUGCCUCCAUUCACAGAAGCACUGUGACUUUACUCCUGCCCUUCUCAGAUGAUCUCCAGGUCAUUGAUAGCAGUAUUGACAAGGCACUGAGAUGAGAAGACAUCCCUGAAGGGAUGGGCACCCCCUCACUGCCAAUGAUAAUAUCCAGAGAUCUAUUUGCAUAUGCUAACAAGUAGCUGUGGAUGUUUUGCCAAAGAUUUCAGGGGAGGUAAAACUCAGAACCAUGUGAGUUGUUACAAUUGGUUCCACAAAUUGGAUUGCAUUGAGUUUUCUCUCAGCUGCCAACAUUUAGCACUGGAAGUAAGGCAGGGCAGAAGCAAAGAUUACAUCUAGUUUCAUGGGAAAAUGUCUUCCUUCAAUGAGUUUUGCUCUUCAGAUGCAGUGGUAGAAAUUCUCACAUGUAAAGAUGUUAGUCUAAGCAAUGGGGCUUUGUCUGGAACAUCUGUAACCUGAUGAGCAGAAAUGUCUUUCCAGGUAUCAUGGAAAAUGUAUCAAUCUCAAUGUCAUAUUGUCCAGAGAAAUAAUUAAUAAAAUAAUCAAUUUGUGAUUUGUCUUAAUAAAUCAUUGAGCC